UCUAUGUAAUAUAUUCAGCAAAACAAUGUACACCAAUUCGUAUAUUUUUUGAGACUCAGUGUAUGGACUCACCAAAGAGGGAAGCCUGUAAAGAAGUUGCUGAGCUUUGACAAGUUGUUGCAAUAUUUUGGAAACUAACAUUCCCUGAUUUAAAAUGAGAUACAGUUUGGGGUUUAAUUAGCAAUUUUCCAGCCUUAGCUGCACUCCUGAUGAUCUCAUACUCGACCGCAAAUGACACAACAUGCACCACCAGAGCAGAUCCAUGGCGGUGUCAAAGUCAGGUUAACUGGAUGAAGCUGCGGUAGCAUCGCAAUGGAUAGUGAUGUCAUCAGUGGGUGUCCCUGCUCCGGAACCUGCAGUCUGGUGGCGUCUACACGUGAUGUGGUGUCGAGUAGAUAUAAGGUCUCCAAGCCCUGCAAACCAGCGCUAGAAGGGUGGAAGCUGAAGUGUUGCCAUGACAACAGUGGGAUGACAUUAUUGGUGAGCGCUCUGCACACCCUGUCCCGGCGUCAGAGACCCAGCUGGCAUUUUGUCACGCGGGAGGAGGAGAUCUAACACAGAGUUUUAAAACGUAGGAAAUUUGUGUAAUGUUUGAUGCUUCACUUUUCUGAGGACGGGGCAUGUGACGCCCGAAACGUCAAUAAAUCUUUGUUGCACCCUUUGAAA